GAUGUACGCUAGCGAUAGGCUUAACACAUGCAAGUCGAGGGGCAGCACAAGGUAGCUUGCUCUCUGGGUGGCGACCGGCGCACGGGUGCGUAACGCGUAUGCAACUUGCCCUAUACAGGAGGAUAACCCGUCGAAAGACGGACUAAUACUGCGUAUGCUCACAACUUGGCAUCAAGUGGUGAGGAAAGAAAUUCGGUAUAGGAUAGGCAUGCGUCCCAUUAGCUUGUUGGUGAGGUAACGGCUCACCAAGGCAACGAUGGGUAGGGGAACUGAGAGGUUUAUCCCCCACACUGGUACUGAGACACGGACCAGACUCCUACGGGAGGCAGCAGUGAGGAAUAUUGGUCAAGGGGCGCGAGCCUGAACCAGCCAAGUCGCGUGAAGGAUGACUGUCUUAUGGAUUGUAAACUUCUUUUAUACGGGAAUAACAAGAGUCACGUGUGACUCCCUGCAUGUACCGUAUGAAUAAGCAUCGGCUAACUCCGUG
rnacentral:rRNA from 1 species